UGCCAGCCGCCGCGGUAAUACGGAGGGUGCAAGCGUUAUCCGGAAUCACUGGGUUUAAAGGGUACGUAGGCGGGCUAAUAAGUCAGAAGUGAAAUCUCGCAGCUUAACUGCGAAACUGCUUUUGAAACUGUUAGUCUUGAAUUCGGUUGAGGUGCACGGAAUGCGUCAUGUAGCGGUGAAAUGCUUAGAUAUGACGUAGAACACCAAUUGCGAAGGCAGUGCACUGGACCGCGAUUGACGCUGAGGUACGAAAGCGUGGGUAGCGAACAGGAUUAGAUAC
rnacentral:rRNA from 1 species